rnacentral:lncRNA from 1 species
CCAUUUCCCCCCAUUUUGACCCAAUUUCCCCCCCAUUUCCCCCCCAUUUCCCCCCCAGGUGCUCCGGCCCUUCCUGCUGCGCCGCCUGAAGGUGGACGUGGAGAAGCAGAUGCCCAAAAAAUACGAGCAUGUCCUCAAAUGCCGUCUGUCCAAACGCCAGAGGUUCCUCUACGACGACUUCAUGGGCCAGGCCAGGUGCUGCCCCACAACCUCGGCCCCUAUGGGGGGGAAAUGGGGCCAUAUGGGGGGGAAAUGGUCCCCUAUGGGGGGGAAAUGGGGCCAUAUGGGGUGGAAAUGGGGCCAUACGGGGUGGAAAUGGGGCCAUACGGGGUGGAAAUGGGGCCAUAUGGGGUGGAAAUGGUCCCUUAUGGGGUGGAAAUGGGGCCACAUGGGGUGGAAAUGGUCCCUUAUGGGGGGGAAAUGGGGCCAUAUGGGGUGGAAAUGGGGCCAUAUGGGGUGAAAGUGGUCCCUUAUGGGGGGAAAGUGGAGCCAUAUGGGGUGAAAGGGGUCCCAUAUGGGGUGAAAGGGGUCAUAUAGGGGGUGCAAAUGGUCCCACCCCAAUCCGACCUUUUUCUUUACAUUUCCCCCCCCCACCCGCAAAUCCGACCCCGUUCUUUACAUUCCCCCCCCCUUUUCCCCAUCCC